UACGUAGGGUGCAAGCGUUGUCCGGAAUUAUUGGGCGUAAAGAGCUCGUAGGCGGUUCGUCACGUCGGCUGUGAAAUCCCGAGGCUCAACCUCGGGUCUGCAGUCGAUACGGGCGGACUUGAGUACUGCAGGGGAGAACGGAAUUCCUGGUGUAGCGGUGAAAUGCGCAGAUAUCAGGAAGAACACCCGUGGCGAAGGCGGCUCUCUGGGACGGUACUGACGCUGAGACGCGAAAGCGUGGGGAGCGAACAGG
rnacentral:rRNA from 1 species